rnacentral:rRNA from 1 species
CUUUACUGCAACCUGGAAUUGAAUUUGAGCUUUUUUUGCGCAGACUAGGUGGGAGGCGUUGAAGAUUUUUUUUCGGGAAAAUGUGAGCCAUCAAUGAGAGACCACUCUGAAAAGGCUAGAAUUCUAAUGGCGUUCCUUGAAGCAGGACGCUUGACAGUUUCAGGCGGGCAGUUUGACUGGGGCGGUCAUCUCUUAAAAGGUAACAGAGAUGUGCAAAGGUUCCUUCAGGCUGGACGGAAAUCAGCUGUAGAGUAUAAAGGCAAAAGGGAGCUUGACUGCAAGACCUACAAGUCAAACAGAGGCGAAAGCCGGCCUUAGUGAUCCGACAGUACCGAGUGGAAGGGCUGUCGCUAAACGGAUAAAAGUUA